rnacentral:rRNA from 1 species
GAUGAACGCUAGCUACAGGCUUAACACAUGCAAGUCGAGGGGUAACGAGAGGAAAGCUUGCUUUCCUUGUCGACGACCGGCGCACGGGUGAGUAACGCGUAUCCAACCUGCCCCCAACUAGGGAAUAACCUUGCGAAAGUAAGACUAAUACCCUAUAAUUUCCUCAGAUGUCAUCUGACGAGGAAUAAAGAUUUAUCGGUUGUGGAUGGGGAUGCGUCUGAUUAGCUUGUUGGAGGGGUAACGGCCCACCAAGGCAACGAUCAGUAGGGGUUCUGAGAGGAAGGUCCCCCACAUUGGAGCUGAGACACGGUCCAAACUCCUACGGGAGGCAGCAGUGAGGAAUAUUGGUCAAUGGGCGGAAGCCUGAGCCAGCCAAGUAGCGUGCAGGAUGACGGCCCUAUGGGUUGUAAACUGCUUUUAUGCAGGAAUAAAGUUAGCCACGUGUGGUUAUUUGUAGGUACUGUAUGAAUAAGGACCGGCUAAUUCCGUGCCAGCAGCCGCCGUAA